CUACGGGGUGCACCAGUGGGGAAUAUUGCGCAAUGGGCGAAAGCCUGACGCAGCAACGCCGUGUGAGGGAUGAAGGCUUUCGGGUCGUAAACCUCUGUCAGAAGGGAAGAACGGGUAUUGGUCUAAUAGGCCAUUAUUUUGACGGUACCUUCAGAGGAAGCACCGGCUAACUCCGUGCCAGCAGCCGCGGUAAUACGGAGGGUGCAAGCGUUAUUCGGAAUUACUGGGCGUAAAGCGCACGUAGGCCGCUUUGUAAGUCAGGGGUGAAAUCCCACGGCUCAACCGUGGAACUGCCUUUGAAACUGCAGAGCUUGAAUCCUGGAGAGGGUGGCGGAAUUCCUGGUGUAGGAGUGAAAUCCGUAGAUAUCAGGAGGAACACCGGUGGCGAAGGCGGCCACCUGGACAGGUAUUGACGCUGAGGUGCGAAAGUGUGGGGAGCAAACAGGAUUAGAUACCCGUGUAGUC
rnacentral:rRNA from 1 species